UGCGAGGGCAUAUAGUCCUCGCUUUUCUCAACCGUAGGGAGGUUGAGGAACAAGUGCUGGGCAAGACCGGUGCCAGCCGCCGCGGUAAUACCGGCAGCACAAGUGAUGACCGCUGUUAUUGGGCCUAAAGCGUCCGUAGCUGGCCAGACAAGUUCAUCGGGAAAUCUGCGCGCCUAACGCGCAGGCGUCCGGUGGAAACUGCCUGGCUUGGGACCGGAAGACCAGAGGGGUACGUCUGGGGUAGGAGUGAAAUCCCGUAAUCCUGGACGGACCACCGGUGGCGAAAGCGCCUCUGGAAGACGGAUCCGACGGUGAGGGACGAAAGCUCGGGUCACGAACCGGAUUAGAUACCCGGGUAGUCCGAGCUGUAAACGAUGUCUGCUAGGUGUGACACAGGCUACGAGCCUGUGUUGUGCCGUAGGGAAGCCGUGAAGCAAACCGCCUGGGAAGUACGUCCGCAAGGAUGAAACUUAAAGGAAUUGGCGGGGGGAGCACAAA
rnacentral:rRNA from 1 species